UACGUAGGGUGCGAGCGUUAAUCGGAAUUACUGGGCGUAAAGCGUGCGCAGGCGGUUCGUUGUGUCGGCGGUGAAAGCCCCGGGCUUAACCUGGGAAUGGCCGUUGAAACUGGCGAACUGGAGUGUGGCAGAGGGGGGUGGAAUUCCGACGUGUAGCAGUGAAAUGCGUAGAGAUGUGGAGGAACACCGAUGGCGAAGGCAGCCCCCCUGGGAUAACACUGACGCUCAUGCACGAAAGCGUGGGGAGCAAACAGG
rnacentral:rRNA from 1 species